ACGGAAGGCAGCAGUGAGGAAUAUUGGUCAAUGGACGCAAGUCUGAACCAGCCAUGCCGCGUGCAGGAAUAAGGCCCUAUGGGUCGUAAACUGCUUUUGUGGUGGAGCAAUAAGUCGUACGUGUACGGCGAUGAGAGUACAUCACGAAUAAGCAUCGGCUAACUCCGUGCCAGCAGCCGCGGUAAUACGGAGGAUGCAAGCGUUAUCCGGAUUUAUUGGGUUUAAAGGGUGCGUAGGCUGUGGUCCAAGUCAGGGGUGAAAGCCCGGAGCUCAACUCCGGAACUGCCUUUGAUACUGGAUUGCUGGAACACGGAUGCCGUGGGAGGAAUGAGUAGUGUAGCGGUGAAAUGCAUAGAUAUUACUCAGAACACCGAUUGCGAAGGCAUCUCACGAAUCCGUCAUUGACGCUGAGGCACGAAAGCGUGGGGAUCAAACAGGAUUAGAUACCCUGGUA
rnacentral:rRNA from 1 species